GAUGAACGCUGGCGGCGUGCCUAAUACAUGCAAGUCGAGCGAACAGACGAGGAGCUUGCUCCUCUGACGUUAGCGGCGGACGGGUGAGUAACACGUGGAUAACCUACCUAUAAGACUGGGAUAACUUCGGGAAACCGGAGCUAAUACCGGAUAAUAUACUGAACCGCAUGGUUCAAUAGUGAAAGACGGUUUUGCUGUCACUUAUAGAUGGAUCCGCGCCGCUUUAGCUAGUUGGUAAGGUAACGGCUUACCAAGGCAACCAUGCGUAACCGACCUGAGGGGGUGAUCGGCCACACUGGAACUGAGACACGGUCCAGACUCCUACGGGAGGCAGCAGUAGGGAAUCUUCCGCAAUGGGCGAAAGCCUGACGGAGCAACGCCGCGUGAGUGAUGAAGGUCUUCGGAUCGUAAAACUCUGUUAUUAGUGAAGAACAAAUGUGUAAGUAACUAUGCACGUCUUGACGGUACCUAAUCAGAAAGCCACGGCUAACUACGUG
rnacentral:rRNA from 1 species